AUGCUUAAUAGAUAGGCAUUUUUAUUAUAGAUGCUUUAUAAGCCAAUUACUAAAUAUAAUUAACAGAAUCAGUAAAAUGUUCCAAAUGAACUUUUAAAAUAUUCAUCAGUUUCAGUUGACAAUAUAUAUAUACACAUACAGUAUACACUCAUCUGCUCUGAAUUUUAACUAUGCAAAUUGUAACUAAAUUCUCUAUAUAAAUACACAUAAAACAAAUAGUCCAAUGAGUAUAACAUAAUAAACAACAAAUUUUACAUAUGGUCUAUUUUCAGUAUGGUUUAUACCUCUUCUAAAAUACAUUUAGAAUCACCUGGGGUUUUCUGGUCAAUUGUCUCUCACAAAAUGUGGUAGAUUAUAUAAACUUCUAAAAGAUCAUUUAUUACCAUUAUAUUAAAUAUCAAUUCAUAUUCCAAAAAAGAAUGUUAUACUUCAAAAUGCAUGAGUAAAGCCCACUUUCAUUGUUAAUGCAUCUAUACACAUUUGUAUACAUGAUUUCAUAAAUACGCCACUGUAUUAAAAAAUACACCCUCUUAAAGACAUUUAAAUUGGCAGAAACGCUUUUUAAAAGCAUACAAUUAAUCUGUGAUCAUGACAGGUAUGUGUAGACUAGAGAAUUAAUGAAAAGCAAAGCAUCUUAAACUAACAGGUUUUUAAUGUUAUCAAUUUGAUUUUU
rnacentral:lncRNA from 1 species